AUUGAACGCUGGCGGAAUGCUUUACACAUGCAAGUCGAACGGCAGCAUAGGUGCUUGCACCUGAUGGCGAGUGGCGAACGGGUGAGUAAUACAUCGGAACGUGCCCAGUCGUGGGGGAUAACGUAGCGAAAGUUACGCUAAUACCGCAUACGAUCUACGGAUGAAAGCGGGGGACCGUAAGGCCUCGCGCGAUUGGAGCGGCCGAUGUUAGAUUAGGUAGUUGGUGGGGUAAAGGCUCACCAAGCCGACGAUCUAUAGCUGGUCUGAGAGGAUGAUCAGCCACACUGGGACUGAGACACGGCCCAGACUCCUACGGGAGGCAGCAGUGGGGAAUAUUGGACAAUGGGGGCAACCCUGAUCCAGCCAUGCCGCGUGAGUGAAGAAGGCCUUCGGGUUGUAAAGCUCUUUCGACGGGGACGAUGAUGACGGUACCCGUAUAAGAAGCCCCGGCAAACUUUGUA
rnacentral:rRNA from 1 species